GAACACGUGAGAAACCUGCCUUUCAUUCUGGGAUAACACCGGGAAACCGGUGCUAAUACCGGAUACUCCAUCUUGGCGGCAUCGCCGAGCUGGGAAAAAAUUUUGAUGAAAGAUGGUCUCGCGGCCUAUCAGCUAGUUGGUGAGGUAAAGGCUCACCAAGGCGACGACGGGUAGCCGGCCUGAGAGGGCGACCGGCCACACUGGGACUGAGACACGGCCCAGACUCCUACGGGAGGCAGCAGUAGGGAAUAUUGGGCAAUGGGCGAAAGCCUGACCCAGCGACGCCGCGUGAGGGAUGAAGGUCUUCGGAUUGUAAACCUCUUUCAGUAGGGAAGAAGCGAAAGUGACGGUACCUAAAGAAGAAGCACCGGCUAACUAUGUGCCAGCAGCCGCGGUAAUACAUAGGGUGCAAGCGUUGUCCGGAAUUAUUGGGCGUAAAGGGCUCGUAGGUCGUUUGUCGCGUCGAUUGUGAAAAUCUGAGGCUCAACCUCAGACCUGCAGUCGAUACGGGCAAACUAGAGUGUGGUAGGGGAGACUGGAAUUCCUGGUGUAGCGGUGGAAUGCGCAGAUAUCAUGAGGAACACCAAUGGCGAAGGCAGGUCUCUGGGCCAUAACUGACACUGAGGAGCGAAAGUGCGGGGAGCGAACAGGAUUAGAUACCCUGGUAGUCCGCACCGUAA
rnacentral:rRNA from 1 species